rnacentral:rRNA from 1 species
GACGUAGGGAGCAAGCGUUGUCCGGAAUUACUGGGCGUAAAGGGUGCGUAGGCGGCUAGGCAAGUCAGAUGUGAAAUCCCCGGGCUUAACUCGGGUGGUGCAUUUGAAACUGCUUAGCUUGAGUGCAGGAGAGGAAAGCGGAAUUCCUAGUGUAGCGGUGAAAUGCGUAGAUAUUAGGAGGAACACCAGUGGCGAAGGCGGCUUUCUGGACUGUAACUGACGCUGAGGCACGAAAGCGUGGGGAGCAAACAGG